UGGGGGAUAUUGCACAAUGGGCGCAAGCCUGAUGCAGCGACGCCGCGUGGGGGAUGAAGGCCUUCGGGUUGUAAACUUCUUUUGCUCUGAACAAGGCGCACGUUGGGGUGUGUUGAGUGUAGGGGUUGAUUAGCGCCGGCUAACUACGUGCCAGCAGCCGCGGUAAUACGUAGGGCGCGAGCGUUGUCCGGAAUUAUUGGGCGUAAAGGGCUUGUAGGUGGCUGGUUGCGUCUGUCGUGAAAGCUCAUGGCUUAACUGUGGGUUUGCGGUGGGUACGGGCUGGCUUGAGUGCAGUAGGGGAGGCUGGAAUUCCUGGUGUAGCGGUGGAAUGCGCAGAUAUCAGGAGGAAUACCGGUGGCGAAGGCGGGUCUCUGGGCUGUUACUGACACUGAGGAGCGAAAGCAUGGGGAGCGAACAGG
rnacentral:rRNA from 1 species